GCAGCACAUAUACUAAAAUUGGAACAAUUCAGAGAAGAUUAGCAUGGCCCCUGUUCAAGGAUGACACAUAAAUUUGUGAAGCAUUCCAUAUUUUU
ensembl:snRNA U6 U6 spliceosomal RNA